rnacentral:rRNA from 1 species
UACGUAGGGUGCAAGCGUUGUCCGGAAUUAUUGGGCGUAAAGAGCUUGUAGGCGGUUUGUCGCGUCUGCUGUGAAAUUUCGGGGCUCAACCCCGAACUUGCAGUGGGUACGGGCAGACUAGAGUGUGGUAGGGGAGACUGGAAUUCCUGGUGUAGCGGUGAAAUGCGCAGAUAUCAGGAGGAACACCGAUGGCGAAGGCGGGGUCCUGGGCCAGUACUGACGCUGAGGAGCGAAAGCGUGGGGAGCAAACAGG